GAUGAACGCUGGCGGCGUGCCUAAUACAUGCAAGUCGAGCGAACAGACGAGGUGCUUGCUCCUCUGACGUUAGCGGCGGACGGGUGAGUAACACGUGGAGAACCACCAUAUAAGACUGGGACAACUUCGGGAAACCGGAGCUAAUACCGGAAAAUAUAUUGAACCGCAUGGUUCAAUAGUGUAAGACGGUUUUGCUGUUACUGAAAGAUGGUUCCGCGCCGCAUUAGAUAGUUGGUAAGGUAACGGCUUACCAAGGCACCGGUGCGUAGCCGACCUAAGAGAGUGACCGGCCACACUGGGAGUGGGACACGGGCCAGACUCCUACGGGAGGCCGCAGUAGAGAAUCUUCCGCGAUGGGCGAAAGCCUGACGCAGCAACGCGGCAUGGGUUAUGAAGGUCUUCGGGUCGUAAAGCUGUGUUAUUAGGGAAGAACAACUGUGUAAGUAAGUGUGCACGUCUUGACGGUACCUGAUCAGAAAGCCACGGCUAACUACGUG
rnacentral:rRNA from 1 species